rnacentral:rRNA from 1 species
CCCGAAUCCUGACACAGGGAGGUAGUGACAAGAAAUAACAAUACAGGGCUACAUCUAGUCUUGUAAUUGGAAUGAGUACAAUUUACAUCUCUUCACGAGGAUCAAUUGGAGGGCAAGUCUGGUGCCAGCAGCCGCGGUAAUUCCAGCUCCAAUAGCGUAUAUUAAAGUUGUUGCAGUUAGAACGCUCGUAGUCGGAUUUCGGGGCGGGCCGACCGGUCUGCCGAUGGGUACGCACUGGCCGGCGCGUCCUUCCUUCCGGAGACCGUGCCUACUCUUAACUGAGCGGGGGCGGGAGACGGAUCGUUUACUUUGAAAAAAUCAGAGUGUUUCAAGCAGGCAGCUCGCUCUUGCAUGGAUUAGCAUGGGAUAAUGAAAUAGGACUUUGGUGCUAUUUUGUUGGUUUCAAACACCGAAGUAAUGAUUAAAAGGGACAGUCAGGGG